UUUUUUUUAAUUUCCUAUGCUUUAUGCGUAUUUUUGUCAAACCUGCUCUCUACAACAAUAGGCUUGAAAGACCCUUCAAGCUGUUUAUAUUGUUAACAAGACGCUUGUAUUGCCCAAAUCCACCAGCUCCAGUCAAAGCCUGGGUGCAAUUUUAAUGGGCAAAAAACAUCGUGGGAGGCAACCCCUUGGAGAUGGAUGUGGAGCUCCUUGCAGAAUUCAGGUGAUGAAACUACUACCACAGAAACCCACAGCGUAGAGAGUGUUUCUGAAAGUCAAACCUGAUCAUAACAACCUUGCCAAACAGUUUCUGUACCCCUAGAGGUUUAGGGAAAACAAAAGGGGAGAACGAAAGCUGUAUACUUGUUAAGACCAGGAGAGCUGUAUUGAGGAGUGUUUUGCCCAGCGGAGCAUGAGUGCAAUGCCAAGUAAAGUAUUUUGUGAUUUCUUGAAGGAUGAAAUGUGGUUAUCUAGUGUAGUCAAUUUUAGGGAGACAGGGCAGAAGCACGAGGCAGCAAGGGGUGGUACGUGGAGUUAAGAGUAGAGCAAGUUGGUUAAUAAGACAGGCAGGGAAAAGGCUGUCUAGAAUCAUAGGAGCAAGAGGGGCACCCUAUGUAUUCAUCCUUCUGGCAGUGGUAUCUCUAGCACAAACUGCAUAGGAAAAGGAGAAAAAAGGCAUGAACAUCAGUGAACGAGGAAGAUGCAGAGGAAUUGGUGGAGCUGGGAUGUGGUGAAGAGCUAGCAGAAAACCCUGCCCAUUCCACAGAUCCAAACCUGGUGUUUUGGAGGUCUCCAGAUGUCAUGGUCAUCAGCAUGUACCUGUGAAACACAUAGAGAACAUGGCUAUCUCCUUGUGGCAUGCAGCUCUCCCUAUGGCAUAGCUUGAUGUCUAAAAUAAUAACCUGUUGUUAUAGCUGUUGCUGAAAUGGACUCCUCUUAACACAAAUUGUGGAGAUGCUGCCAGUGCUGCAGGCACUUGCCCAAAAGCAAAAGAAGGAAAGGGCUGAGCUUUGUGGUAAGUACGUGCCAUCAUUCCUAAUGGAAAGGAGAAUGGGAUGGGAUCUUCAGGGUCCUUCCCGCAACAGAGUGGAUGUUAGCAUCUCUUAUGAAGGAGGGGAACACACUCAACAUUAUUUCUGCCUUUGCAGCCUCGUGAAUGACUGCCAUGUCCUUAGGACAGUCUACCUCAGAAGUCAGUGCAGUUGCUAUGAGAAGUUCUGAUGUGAACAGCUGUGUCUUUUCCAAUUCUGAUGUAUGUCUCCACAUACAUGAAUUCACAUCUGAUGAUAUUCACUAGAUUUGAUCCAAAUAUAUUAGAGUUUGAAGUUGUAAUUUUCAUUAAAGUGACUUGCCAGAAGAACUUUAUCCAACAUCCAGGACAAUACUGCAUAAAAAAAGGUGAAAGUACACUGCUAACUUAGUUCCUAAUCGCUCCAGACCAAGCAGGCUUUACCUGCUGAUAAAUCCCAUGGUGCCCUUGUCUCUGUUAGCUCAGUUUCCUGUCAGCUCUUAAAACUUAAAACUUUCAUCUAAGGUCUGUGCCAGCGCUCCACAGCCUGAGGUAUUUAGAUGUUCAGCCACCUCUCCUGAGAGCCGCAGCACUUGGACAGCACCCUGAGAUUCCCAUCCAACAGAAGGCCAUGCACAAGCACCCAAUGACUAAUACUUUUUCUUUUGGGGAUAUUUUCCAGCUUCUCUUUGCAGGACUCUGGAACUUGAACAGAGGAGAAUGAACCCUGGGGAGUUGCCAUAGGAACCUCUGUUGGUUUUCUUUUUUUUUAAUGUUGUCUGAGAUGAAAUAGAAACAAGGAAAAAAUUACAGAGGAGAAUUGUAGACCUGAGUUUAUUAUCUCUACAGAACAGUGAAGCUGAACAAUAUCUUUAACUUCCUAAAGCAAUAACAGUCACUUUGGGGUUGAUGUCAAGUUGGUAAUUUUCACUGGAAUAAAAAUUAAUUGCUGUAUUUAUUCA
ensembl:lncRNA